rnacentral:rRNA from 1 species
GCAAGUCGAACGGAAAGGCCUGCCACCUUGGUGGUGGGUACUCGAGUGGCGAACGGGUGAGUAACACGUGGGUGAUCUGCCCCGCACUGUGGGAUAAGCCUGGGAAACUGGGUCUAAUACCACAUACGACCAUGGCGUAGGGGUCAUGGUGGAAAGCCUUGUCGGUGUGGGAUGAGCCCGCGGCCUAUCAGCUUGUUGGUGGGGUAAUGGCCUACCAAGGCGGCGACGGGUAGCCGGCCUGAGAGGGUGAAC